rnacentral:other from 1 species
UACUUUCUGGAAUAUUCGCUGGCUCUUAUUUUGAACCUACAUUUAAAUUUUGGGAGUUCAAUAUUUAGAUAAGGAAAUGUACUUUCAAGUGAGUCCUUUUACGGCAUUGAAGGCGAUUGAAAUAUCUGUGAGAGCACCCACCUAUCGAGGGAUAGGUGUCAAAAUCAGAGUAUCGGUAUUUUGGAUAUCAU